GUCAAGUCAUCAUGGCCCUUAUGUCCAGGGCGACACACGUGCUACAAUGGCCGGCACAGCGGGAAGCGAGGGGGCGACCUUGAGCGGAUCCCUCAAAGCCGGUCUCAGUUCGGAUUGCAGUCUGCAACUCGACUGCAUGAAGUUGGAAUCGCUAGUAAUCGUGGAUCAGCCAAGCCGCGGUGAAUACGUUCCCGGGCCUU
rnacentral:rRNA from 1 species